rnacentral:rRNA from 1 species
AGCUCCAAUAGCGUAUAUUAAAGUUGUUGCAGUUAAAAAGCUCGUAGUUGGAUUUCAAGAACAGCAUUGGUGAAAACCAUAUGCUUUCUACCAGUCUUUGACUGUUACUGUGAGAAAAUUAGAGUGUUUAAAGCAGGCUUUCCGCUUGAAUACGUCAGCAUGGGAUAAUGAGAUAGGACGUUGGUGCUAUUUCGUUGGUUGCGCACCAGUGUAAUGAUUAAUGGAGAGGAUUGGGGUGGGCGCAAUUUAACUGUCAGAGGUGAAAUUCUUGGAUUUGUUAAGGGGCAACUACUGCGAAAGCAGUCCACACGAGCCUUCUCG